rnacentral:rRNA from 1 species
UACGGAAGGCAGCAGUGGGGAAUAUUGCACAAUGGGCGAAAGCCUGAUGCAGCUAUGCCGCGUGUAUGAAGAAGGCCUUAGGGUUGUAAAGUACUUUCAUCGGGGAGGAAAAAACAAAACUAAUAAUUUUAUUUCUUGACGUUACCCGAAAAAGAAGCACCGGCUAACUCCGUGCCAGCAGCCGCGGUAAUACGGAGGGUGCUAGCGUUAAUCAGAAUUACUGGGCGUAAAGAGCACGUAGGUGGUUUUUUUAAAGUCAGAUGUGAAAUCCCUGGGCUUUAACCUAGGAACUGCAUUUUGAAACUGAAAUACUAGAGUAUCGUAGAGGGAGGUAGAAUUUCUAGGUGUAGCGGUGAAAUGCGUAGAUAUCUGGAGGAAUACCUGUGGCGAAAGCGGCCUCCUAAACGAAUACUGACACUGAGGGUGCGAAAGCGUGGGGAGCAAACAGGGAUUAGAUACC